rnacentral:snRNA from 1 species
GUGCUCGCUUCGGCAGCACAUAUACUAAAAUUGGAACAGAGAAGAUUAGCAAGGCCCCUACACAAGGAUAACACAAAUUUGUGAAGCAUUCCAUAUUUUU